CAAAAGAAAGUUUUGAAACAUUAAGGAAAAACCUUGGUGUUUCCAGCAAAAAUGUCAAGGUGGAGUGUUAACAUUGGUUGAUAUUUUUGCUGUCACCAAUUGCAGUAUUUUUGUGUAUUAAAAUCAGCCUAUGUAAUAUUUAUUUUUAAUGAUUAUAAUGUCUGUAAAUGUAUGGGUUAUUCUGUCACUUUGUAAGGUUGUAGUUGGUAGAAGUUGUUGACUAAUAGUA
rnacentral:lncRNA from 1 species